GACAGAGGUGCCGAGCGUUAGGCGGAAUCACUGGGCUUAAAGCGUGUGUAGGCGGAUCGUUAAGUACCUUGUGAAAUCCCACGGCUCAACCGUGGAACUGCUUGGUAUACUGGCGGUCUUGAGCCAGCUAGGGGCUACCGGAACAAAUGGUGGAGCGGUGAAAUGCGUAGAUAUCAUUUGGAACGCCAAUGGUGAAAACAGGUAGCUGGGGCUGUGCUGACGCUGAGACACGAAAGCGUGGGGAGCGAACCGG
rnacentral:rRNA from 1 species